ensembl:lncRNA
GGCGCUCCUUAGAGUUGGCAUAAGACAAUAACACAAGGAGAUGCAUGUCCAGAGAGGUGGGAACGAAGAUAUAUGUGUUCAGUGAGGUGCGCCCAGAGAUAUUCCGACAAACCGGUAAAACCUAGGGGAUGCAUGUCAAGGUUAUCAGGUGAAUACCUGUGGGUAUAGAAUUACCAGAGCCAUCCACUUCUGUCAUAAAUCAUUUAUUACUGAGGCCAAAAGCUGCUGGUUUGAGUCCAACUCAUGUAGGCACCAAGCAAUAAUUGCAUGAUGGAAAAUUUCUUCACAUUAAGGGGUCACUACCUGCUCCAUCUUUGUGACCAGGGUUAUAGUUCUGGGUGACAACAGCAUUCGGGGGAUGGAGGCUGGUAGCUGGAAACAGGACUUAUCUGUCUAUCAAACCUAUCAGUCACAGGACCUACAUGUGGUGUGCUUGCGUGUGAGGCAUGCCAAGUCCGGGGAGGACAUUCCUCAUUGCUCCCAGGCCUCAUCUGCUUCCUGGGCAGCACAACUGAGAAAUCCACGACAGAAUUCUUGUCAAGGCAGGAACCGGUCAUUGUGCUGCUCAGGGAAGAAAAGGCCAGAGCCCUGGGAAAUCUGGUUUUUGUUAAGGAUAUCUGUAGUGUUACUACCCGCAAUUUGGAAUAGCCUGUCUGGCAUAAACUAGAAUUGUCCACUCUCCUAUAUUUCCCUUACAUCAUCAUAUACAUUGUCCAGGGCAUGACUAGAAUAGGUAAGGUGUAAGGUACAGGUGCUUUGCUCACAUUUCUCUGAAUUCUCCUGAGGAGGCAGUUAUUUUCCCUUUGCAUGGGUCUCUGAGCGUUUAGGCUGGCUCCUGGUUCUCCUCCAUCUACUUCCCAGGCAAGCCCAGAACAGUCUCCACUCAAAGAUUUGCUACAGUUCAGAUUUUACUGCUGAGCAGAACAUACCAGCACCAAUGAAUAUAAAGGGUUUUUUUUUUUUUUUAAUAUCUCACAUUUCACCGACUACUCACAACUUCUGCAAACAAGAUACUGGAUACUAGGAUACACACUUUUCCUUUAAACUUAACAUCUCAGGCAGCACUGAGCCCUGUUUCAAAAACAUUUGAGCAUCAUCAAACCCCAGUGCCUUCUGAUGGCCAAUGGUUCAGUGUCACUGGACUCAGGUCCUUGGUCCAUGGCUUAGAGAUACUGGUGGUACUUCUAUACAUCUUCAAUAGAAUCAGGGCUAAUAUAGGACAGUGUUUGUAAGAAACCAGGGAAAAUGUUUCUCAGUUCUUUCUAUUCUUACUGUCUUGCUAGAGCCUGUCCUAUAGUUUAGGUAUGGUUUGUUCCCACCAAAACUCAUGCUGAAGCUUGUUCCUCAAUGUAGCAAUGUUGCUGCAGGCACAUUGCUCACAUUUCUCUGGGGUAGUGUGAGCCUUAUGGGAGUUGAACCUUAUAGGAGUUGUUUGGGUCAUGGAGGUAGAUCCCUCACCAAAGAUGAAUGCCAGGAGUCAGUUCUCUCUCUCCAGGAUCUGGAUUAGUUACCAUAAAAGCAGGGUGUUAUAAAGUGAUGGUGUUGCUCAUCCUGGCUCUCCCUGCACAGGCCUGCUCCUUCUUCCACUUCUCUUCCAUAUUAUGACACAGCACAAAGCCCUCAAAAGAAGUCCAGCAGAUGUUGAUGCCCUAUUGGCCUUUCCAGCCUCCAGAAUUGCAAGCCAAAUAAAGCCCUUUUCCUUAUAAAUUUCUUUAUACAUUUUCCCAGCCUCAGCUAUUCUGCUAUAGCAGCAGAGGACAAAUUAAGACAGCCUCUCUCCUUGUUGCACAAAUAAAUAUUGUCCAGCCUUAACUUUGGAAAAUCACUACUCUUCUCUUUACAUUCAGUCACCUUUGAAAGUUCUUGAGUUUUCAGCCAAACUGUAGAAUACUCAGAAUUGGUUGACACAGAGUAAAUAGUCCUGUGUAUUUGCUAAAAGUCCUCUUGACAUGCAUUAGUAAGUUUUGCACUGGUCUCAGAGAUACCAAGCUGCUUUGUCCUCAGACUGCAAAUUCUCUUGUCUCCUUUUGGGACUUUCUUAAAAAUCAUAGCCUGUUUCCUAUAAAAAAAAAAAAA